rnacentral:tRNA from 1 species
GCUCCCUUCGUCUAGGGGUUAGGACAUAACCUUUUCGAGGUUGAAACACGGGUUCGAAUCCCGUAGGGAGCA